rnacentral:rRNA from 1 species
CUCACAGGGGAAAUCGUGUAAUUCUAGAGCUAAUACAUGCCAUAAACCCAACUUCACGGAAGGGUUGUAUUUAUUAGAUAUUUUGCCAAUAUUCCUUGUGUCUAUUGUGGUGAAUCAUAGUAACUGAUCGAACCCCUAUUUUGGGGGUAAAUCAUUCAAGUUUCUGCCCUAUCAGCUUUCGAUGGUAGUGUAUUGGACUACCAUGGCAGUCACGGGUAACGGAGAAUUAGGGUUCGGUUCCGGAGAGGGAGCCUGAGAAACGGCUACCACUUCCAAGGAAGGCAGCAGGCGCGUAAAUUACCCAAUCCUGACUCAGGGAGGUAGUGACAAGAAAUAACAACCUGGGAGACUUCGUCUCUACAGGAUUGUAGUGAGAACAAUCCAAAAACUUUAUCGAGAACCAUUGGAGGGCAAGUCUGGUGCCAGCAGCCGCGGUAAUUCCAGCUCCAAUAGCGUAUAUUAAAGUUGUUGCAGUUAAAAAGCUCGUAGUUGAAUUUCUGUACAAUCCCAGCACUAGCAUCUGUUAGUCUGUGGAUUAUGCAUCCGCUUACAAGCUUAGUCCGGUCUUCAUUGGUCGACUAAGGGAGUAGGCCCUUUACUUUGAAAAAAUUAGAGUGUUUCAAGCAGGCAAUGGCUCGAAUACAUUAGCAUGGAAUAAUGGAAUAGGACUGAUGUCCAUGAAUUGGUGAAUGGAUAUUAGUAAUGAUUAACAGGGACAGUUGGGGGCAUUAGUACUUAACAGUCAGAGGUGAAAUUCUUGGAUUUGUUAAAGACUAACUUAUGCGAAAGCAUUUGCCAAGGAUGUUUUCAUUAAUCAAGAACGAAAGUUAGGGGAUCAAAGACGAUCAGAUACCGUCCUAGUCUUAACUAUAAACUAUACCGACUCGGAAUCGGGCAGGCCAUUUUAACUUGCUCGGCGCCG